rnacentral:lncRNA from 1 species
UUAUUUAUUAUAAGUGUGGAAAGGGGGGAAACUUGGAAGGCCUUGGGACUCCUGCUGAUAACAAGUAUCAAGCAGGCAGGACUAUAAAAUGAGGGCACAAGCAUAUUUUUGUUGAAGAGAACAAACAGUUAAUUUAGAGGGGAGGAAUUUAGCUAGAGCUGAGUUGACCUUGGCUGGAAGUGAAGUUAGCUGAUUGCACUACUUUUAAUGUAACACAGCCGAAUUAUGGAAGGGCAAGAAGCUUGUGCCACUAUAGCCUGAUAAUACUGAGCAGAAGUGUUUACUACAUCUCCUUCUUUCUCUUUUGGAAACAGCAGCAGCAACAGGGUACAAGGAAGACUUUCAUAAUCUACUGAAUCUACAUCUUUUAGGCACCUGAAUUACAAAGCCUUAACAAGAAGAUUGGAAGAGAAUCAAGGCCGGAGAAGUUCUUGAAGCAAUGGGAGAGGUAAAAUCUUUUUUAAUAAAUUCUGUCUGUGCAACUCCUUGCACAGAAGAAGUAGAAUUCAGUGCUUAAUAGACAAACAACAAAUAAAUACCUAUCAAUGACCCA